CAUUAAGAAGCUUUUAUAGCGUCAGCCUUUUAAGUUGAAGAAGAAAUUUGUGCUUUCCUUAGUGA
rnacentral:tRNA from 2 species